rnacentral:rRNA from 1 species
AUGGUGGGUAGAGGUAUUAAUUUGAACAGGGGAGAUGUGGCCAGACUCUGGCUUGAUAGCUUGGAAGGUAAAAUAUCUUUUAAAGAAGGAUUCCCCCUGCUCCUUGAGACUUGUACUGACCAAAAUUGUAUUGUUGACCAAUUUAAAUGCAUUGAUCAGAGCUCCUCUUUUAGGAGGAGGAUGUCUCCUGAGAUGACGAAACAAUGGGAGGAAAUGAAUAAUGAGAUGUUAAAGCUUAAACUAAGUGAUGGGACAGAUGAGGUUUAUUGGAAAUUGGAUAGUUUGGGCAAAUAUACCACAAAGUCCAUGUACACAUGGCUAGAAAAAGAUAUAGCAGGAUCCAUCUUUAAAUGGAUCUGGGAUGCAAAGCUUCCUCUUAAAAUUCAGAUCUUCUUGUGGCAGAUUGCACAGAAUGCCAUCCUGACCAGGGACAACAUGAAAAAAAGAUUAUUGUCAGGGAACCCUUGUUGUUAUUUCUGUGACCAAUUAGAAACAGCUCAACACUUGUUCUUUUUAUGCCAUGUUUCCAGGGUGGUGUGGAGAAACGUAGGUUCCUUGCUUGGAAAUGAUUGUUGCCCUAACUCUGUUUGA